UACGUAGGGACCAAGCGUUGUUCGGAUUUACUGGGCGUAAAGGGCGCGUAGGCGGCGCGGUAAGUCACUUGUGAAAUCUCUGAGCUUAACUCAGAACGGCCAAGUGAUACUGCAGUGCUAGAGUGUGGAAGGGGCAAUCGGAAUUCUUGGUGUAGCGGUGAAAUGCGUAGAUAUCUGGAGGAACACCGGUGGCGAAGGCGGCGUUCUGGACUGCAACUGACACUGAGAAACGAAAGCCAGGGUAGCAAACGGG
rnacentral:rRNA from 1 species